CCUACGGGAGGCAGCAGUAGGGAAUUUUCGGCAAUGGGGGGAACCCUGACCGAGCAACGCCGCGUGAAGUCCGCCUGCCUUCGUUCUUUCCCCUUCUUUUCUCCCUGCCGCCCGCCGGCUGGCGGAAAUGACAUCCGAGUGACGGUACUUUAUGAGAAAGCCACGGCUAACUACGUGCCAGCCGCCGCGGUCCUCCGUCGGUGGCCAGCGUUAUCCGGACUUAUUGGGCGUACCGAGGGCGCCGGCUGCCGCCACGGUCUGUGGUGAAAGACUGAAGCUUAACUUCAGUAAGCCCUAGAAACCGGGCAGCUAGAGUGCAGGAGAGGAUCGUGGAAUUCCAUGGGUAGCGGUGAAAUGCGUAGAUAUAUGGAGGAACACCAGUGGCGAAGGCGACGAUCUGGCCUGCAACUGACGCUCAGUCCCGAAAGCGUGGGGAGCAAAUAGGAUUAGAUACCCCUGUAGUC
rnacentral:rRNA from 1 species